rnacentral:rRNA from 1 species
CCCUUAGAUGUUCUGGGCGGCCCGCGCACUACAAUGGCGCUUUCAGCGAGUUCCUAUGUUGAAUUUUCCUGGGUAUUCUUGGAAGCGGCGUCUUGACUUGGGAUAGGUCCUUGUAAUUGUUGGUUUUGAACGAGGAAUUCCUUGUAAUCGCGGUUGAUCAGCUCGCGUUGAAUACGUCCCUGCCCUUUGUACACACCGCCCGUCGCUCCUACCGAUGAAUCGUCCGGUGAAGUUCACAGAGUGGCGGUUCGUGGAGUUGCUCGCGAAGUGAAAUGGACCUCACGAUUUAGAGGAAGGAGAAGUCGUAACA